GUUUGUCUAGCUAUUUUGUUUUGAGCGUGUAAUGAGUGAGUCAAAAACCUACCAAAGAUUGAGUGUUUAGAGUUUAGAGUGUAAACGUCAAACGCACACGCGGUACAAAAAAGGUAAACAAAGGAAAGCGAAAACAAAACAGCAUCGUCCAAACGUUCUUAGCGGUUGUGUUCGCGAUUGCAUUUGCGCAAUUCUUUCACCAGCAAAAAGUGGUCUGUAAUCCGUUCGUAUCGCAGAGCCGUAGCCAGUAGGAACGAGCUUAAGGAGCUACAUUGCAAAGAUUGCCAAGGGGAACGGCGCCGACUGCGAAGACGAGAUUCUGGUGUAGAGAAGCGAGCGCAACAGAAACGAAGAUAGUCGCAGCGACCGGAACAAUUGGAGCGAAAGAAAUAGAGGACGGAAAGAAAGUAUCCGCAACAGCAAACAACACAAAAGGGUGAGUGAACCAUUAUAGACCCCUAUGCCAACCAGUUCCGUCAUGCAUACAAUUUUGUAGAGCCCAGUUCGAAGGCCAACGGCCUCCGCGACAGACGGUCGGAACAAUAAAUUACGCAGGAAAGACGGCCCCAAUCGGGUGAGUUGUUUGUUGAUUGUGUGGGAGAAACAAAUGUUAACAAGUGAUUGAUGGUCGACAGGGUCGUUUUUGGAGGACUAAAUUCUCUUUUUUCGGGACUCGUUUUUGUGCCACUUCUGGCUUUUUCGAGUCUCGUUUUUGAGAACGGAAUUCCCGACGCCGUGAAACUCCAACGAUUUGGAUCCAGCCGGAAGCAGUCUACGGAGGUGCUCCGGGCAGUGGUGCGUGCCCGUGGAGCCGAGCAACCUGCCAGUGUUGCCAGAUAUUCCCGUGAUCAUCAGCUGUGAUAAACCUGUGCCGUCCGAUAGCUGUGAUAUGACUGUUGUGCGUUUGGGAUGUAAAGUUUGUGAACUAUGGUAGGAAACGGGC